AGAGAAGAAGAAGAAGAAGGAAAAACAUGAAUCAUGUUUGUCAUUAUCGUUCGUCGUCGUCCUCCGUAUCCUCUUUUUUUUCUUUCUUUU
rnacentral:ribozyme from 14 species